CGUUUCCCUAGUUGUUCCUCUGGUUGCUGGAGUUGUUGUCUCUGUCGGUGUGUUGGCUGCUGCAUUGAUGAUAAUUGUGGUGAUAUGCAAGAGAAGGACAAAUGCUGGAGGAGAGCCAAGACACCAAUCAACUCAAGGCAGGAGCAGUGCCAUAGUCAUGCCGUCUGUUAAGCCACCAGACUCCUCAGCUAAUGUAAGAUAAUGAUUUAUUCUCAUGAUAUACACAAACCC